rnacentral:rRNA from 1 species
AUUGAACGCUGGCGGCAGGCUUAACACAUGCAAGUCGAACGGCAGCGCGGACUUCGGUCUGGCGGCGAGUGGCGAACGGGUGAGUAAUACAUCGGAACGUACCCUGUGGUGGGGGAUAACUAGUCGAAAGAUUAGCUAAUACCGCAUACGACCUGAGGGUGAAAGUGGGGGACCGCAAGGCCUCACGCAGCAGGAGCGGCCGAUGUCUGAUGAGCUAGUUGGUGGGGUAAAGGCCCACCAAGGCGACGAUCAGUAGCUGGUCUGAGAGGACGAUCAGCCACACUGGGACUGAGACACGGCCCAGACUCCUACGGGAGGCAGCAGUGGGGAAUUUUGGACAAUGGGGGCAACCCUGAUCAAGCAAUGCCGCGUGUGUGAAGAAGGCCUUCGGGUUGUAAAGCACUUUUGUCCGGAAGGAAAUCGCGCUGGUUAAUACCUGGCGUGGAUGACGGUACCGGAAGAAUAAGCACCGGCUAACUACGUGCCAGCCGCCGCCGUAA